GACGAACGCUGGCGGCGUGCUUAACACAUGCAAGUCGAACGAUGAACCCGGAGCUUGCUCCGGUGGAUUAGUGGCGAACGGGUGAGUAACACGUGAGUAACCUGCCCUUGACUCUGGGAUAACUGCGGGAAACUGUAGCUAAUACCGGAUACGACCCUCGGCGGCAUCGCCAGGGGGUGGAAAGAAUUUCGGUCAAGGAUGGACUCGCGGCCUAUCAGCUGGUUGGUGAGGUAACGGCUCACCAAGGCGACGACGGGUAGCCGGCCUGAGAGGGGGACCGGCAACACUGGGACUGAGCCACGGCCCAGAGUCCUUCGGGAGGCAGCAGUGGGGAAUAUUGGACAAUGGGCGCUAGCCUGAUGCAGCGACGCCGCGUGAGGGAUGACGGCCUUCGGGUUGUAAUCCUCUUUGAGUAGGGAAGAAGCGAAAGUGACGGUACCUGCAGAAAAAGCACCGGCUAACUACGUGCCAGCCGCCGCCGUAA
rnacentral:rRNA from 1 species